GACGAACGCUGGCGGCGGGCUUAACACAUGCAAGUCGAACGGAAAGGCCCUGCUUUUGUGGGGUGCUCGAGUGGCGAACGGGUGAGUAACACGUGAGUAACCUGCCCUUGACUGUGGGAUAACUUCAGGAAACUGGGGCUAAUACCAGAUAGGAGCUCCUGCUGCAUGGUGGGGGUUGGAAAGUUUCGGCGGUUGGGGAUGGACUCGCGGCUUAUCAGCUUGUUGGUGGGGUAGUGGCUUACCAAGGCUUUGACGGGUAGCCGGCCUGAGAGGGUGACCGGCCACAUUGGGACUGAGAUACGGCCCAGACUCCUACGGGAGGCAGCAGUGGGGAAUAUUGCACAAUGGGCGGAAGCCUGAUGCAGCAACGCCGCGUGCGGGAUGACGGCCUUCGGGUUGUAAACCGCUUUCGCCUGUGACGAAGCGUGAGUGACGGUAAUGGGUAAAGAAGCACCGGCUAACUACGUG
rnacentral:rRNA from 1 species